GGCUCUCUAUAGACACAAUAUUAACAACAUGAAUAAACAUAAUCUACUACUACGGGUUUUUUUUUUAACGACCUUGACAAAAGCCCUUGCACGGUUGAUAUAAACCAAAUCAAUCUAGCAAUACACAAUGAUGAAUAAUAGUAUAAAUAUUAAAUUACAUAAACAAAUACAUGAACAAAACGGAUUACAUGAUAGUGUUUUGAGUUUUAUUGUUAAAAUAUAUAAUGAUUUGUAAGUAUACUUGAAUGACGAUACAUUUUUUUGAUUUUU
rnacentral:lncRNA from 1 species